CACCAGGUCAGGACACGGUAAGGAUUGACGGACUGAAGGCUCUUUCUCGAUUCCGUGGAAAGUGGUGCAUGGCCGUUUUUGGUUGGUGGAUCGAUCCGUCUGGUUAAUUCCGUUAACGAACGAGACCUCGGCACUCCGAAUAGCGCGGCGGACGUCGCGGCCUCCGGGCCGUCUUCCGCACGAGCUUCUUAGAGGGACCGUCCCCCGCCGGGGAAGGAGGUGCGAGGCAACGACAGGUCUGUGAUGCCCUUAGAUGUUCUGGGCCGCACGCGCAUUACACUGACGCGUCCAACGGGUGACUCCCGACCCGAAGGGGCCGGGGAAUCCGCAAGGCGCGUCGUGAUGGGGAUUGAACGUUGCAAUUGUUGUUCACGAACGAGGAAUUCCUAGUAGGCGCGGGUCAUCAACCCGCGCCGAUUACGUCCCUGCCCUUUGUACACACCGCC
rnacentral:rRNA from 1 species